rnacentral:rRNA from 1 species
UUACGGCCAUAUCAGGUUGAACACAUGGUUCUCGUCCGAUCACCGAAGUUAAGCAACGUCGAGCCUAGUCAGUACUUAGAUGGGUGACCGCUUGGGAAUACCAGGUGCUGUAA